rnacentral:rRNA from 2 species
UGGGGAAUAUUGGGCAAUGGGCGAAAGCCUGACCCAGCAACGCCGCGUGAAGGAAGAAGGUUUUCGGAUUGUAAACUUCUGUCCUCAGGGAAGAAGGAAGUGACGGUACCUGAGGAGGAAGCCCCGGCUAACUACGUGCCAGCAGCCGCGGUAAUACGUAGGGGGCGAGCGUUGUCCGGAAUGACUGGGCGUAAAGGGCGCGUAGUCGGCUUUUUAAGUCUGGAGUGAAAGUCCUGCUUUCAAGGUGGGAAUUGCUUUGGAGACUGGGGAGCUUGAGUGCGGAAGAGGUAAGUGGAAUUCCCAGUGUAGCGGUGAAAUGCGUAGAGAUUGGGAAGAACACCAGUGGCGAAGGCGGGUAACUGGACUGCAACUGACGCUGAGGCGCGAAAGCAUGGGGAGCGAACAGG